rnacentral:rRNA from 1 species
GAUGAACGCUGGCGGCGUGCCUAAUACAUGCAAGUCGAGCGAACAGAUGAGGAGCUUGCUCCUCUGACGUUAGCGGCGGACGGGUGAGUAACACGUGGAUAACCUACCUAUAAGACUGGGAUAACUUCGGGAAACCGGAGCUAAUACCGGAUAAUAUAUUGAACCGCAUGGUUCAAUAGUGAAAGACGGUUUUGCUGUCACUUAUCGAUGGAUCCGCGCCGCAUUAGCUAGUUGGUAAGGUAACGGCUUACCAAGGCAACGAUGCGUAGCCGACCUGAGAGGGUGAUCGGCCACACUGGAACUGAGACACGGUCCAGACUCCUACGGGAGGCAGCAGUAGGGAAUCUUCCGCAAUGGGCGAAAGCCUGACGGAGCAGCGCCGCGUGAGUGAUGAAGAUCUUCGGAUCGUAAAACUCUGUUAUUAGGGAAGAACAAAUGUGUAAGUAACUAUGCACGUCUUGACGGUACCUAAUCAGAGAGCCACGGCUAACUACGUG